GCGGCGCGAGCGGCAGCGGCGCUGAGGAGACGCCAUGAGCAAGGCGCACCCCCCCGAGCUGAAGAAGUUCAUGGACAAGAAGCUGUCACUGAAGUUAAAUGGCGGCCGCCACGUGCAGGGGAUCCUGCGGGGCUUCGACCCCUUCAUGAACCUGGUGAUUGAUGAGUGCGUGGAGAUGGCACCCGGUGGGCAGCAGAACAACAUCGGCAUGGUGGUAAUACGAGGAAACAGCAUCAUUAUGCUGGAAGCUUUGGAACGAGUAUAGUGGCAGAGGAACCCCAUAGUGACCUGACCCUGUUGUGUUUUGUUUACUCACUCGAACCUAGUGAAGCAACCACAAGUGCUGUGACACUUCUAUUUCUGGCACUGCUCUGUGAAGAGUGAAGGGGACUGAAAUAUCUGUCCUGCUGAAGUGUUUGCCUGCAGCUUCGUGGUGAUCUUCACCUCUGAGCUGAGGCAAAAGUGUUUUUGGUUAUUGUGAUUGCCCUCAAGCAGCCCCGGGGGUGAAGCAGACAGGACAAAGCAUUGACCCCAAGGUACCAGCAAGCUUCUAAGAGUUGAAUCGUGUUCCAGCACGCGCAGACUCCUGUGAUGCUGUUAAUCUCAGUGCAAGUCCUGCAAUUAAGCUUUAAUCAAGUGUGUUCAUCUUUCCUAGCACAGCAAGUGCGAGGCAACACUAGUGGAGGCUUGUUAGUGGGAAUUUGAGCUAAGCAAGCACAGCUUGCUGGUACAGGAGUACUCUGCUGAUGGAGGACCGAGUAGCAGCUCUGAGAGACAGCACAAUGCAAGUAAUACAGACACCUCCAGCUUCCUUUCAAACCUGUGCAUUCCUUUUAUUUGUAAUGGCAACAUCGUAUUUACUGUGUAGUUAGACAUGGGUGAGGUUCAGCAGCAAUAUUAGAUCCAGUCAAGGGACAGAAGAGUUUCUCUGCUACAACCUACUGCUGCCCUGCUGUCAUUUUUAGGUCAUCCAAGCAGCUGACACUUCCAAACCUUGAUGAAGAGAAGUACACGGUGUGUCUUUUGCCUGUUUUCCACCCAUUUCAGCAACUCACGCACAGGUCUGCUUCUGUUUGCCCUCUCUCCUCACUCCCCCACCUGCAGAACUUGGAUGAUAGCAAAGACUGUAUUCACCAUUUCCCCUGGUCCCACCCCAAGGGCUGGUUCCUUGAUGCACUCUUUAGAAAAGUGGAGGCAGAGAGAUUUAAUGCUAAAAAGCUGACUUAUAUCCCCCCCCCAACAAAGAGACGUACAGAGAGGGAAAGCGACAUGCACAGGUCUAAGGGGAACAGUGCUCAGUUAAUCACAGUGAUGCAGAUCCUGGGCUUGGCAGGACCUGAAGGACACUUUAGGGUCAACGUGGCAUUUAAAACAUCUUGGUUAUCUUACAGGGGGACAGAUUGAAGGCUUUGCUUGAGGGAGGACCAGCUCACUUGGGGAAGUGCCCCCCACUUUCGACAGCAGUCCAAGUCAAGUUGUGCCUGGAGCUGACUGGAUGUUUCCUCCUCCUUCAAGGCUAAGUGAGAAGUUAGAAUAAAAAUCACAGCAUCCAA